AGAGCGUCUGCCUUACAAGCAGAGGGUCACAGGUUCGAGCCCUGUAGCCUCCA
rfam:Lactobacillus harbinensis DSM 16991 NODE_308, whole genome shotgun sequence.